rnacentral:rRNA from 1 species
CCUACGGGAGGCAGCAGUGGGGAAUCUUGGACAAUGGGGGCAACCCUGAUCCAGCCAUGCCGCGUGAGUGAAGAAGGCCCUAGGGUCGUAAAACUCUUUCGCCUGUGAUGAUAAUGACAGUAGCAGGUAAAGAAACCCCGGCUAACUCCGUGCCAGCAGCCGCGGUAAUACGGAGGGGGUUAGCGUUGUUCGGAAUUACUGGGCGUAAAGCGCACGUAGGCGGAUUAGAAAGUUAGAGGUGAAAUCCCGGGGCUCAACCCCGGAACUGCCUUUAAAACUAUUAGUCUAGAGUUCGAGAGAGGUGAGUGGAAUUCCGAGUGUAGAGGUGAAAUUCGUAGAUAUUCGGAGGAACACCAGUGGCGAAGGCGGCUCACUGGCUCGAUACUGACGCUGAGGUGCGAAAGUGUGGGGAGCAAACAGGAUUAGAUACCCUGGUAGUCCACACCGUAAACGAUGAAUGCCAGUCGUCGGGUAGUAUACUAUUCGGUGACACACCUAACGGAUUAAGCAUUCCGCCUGGGGAGUACGGUCGCAAGAUUAAAACUCAAAGGAAUUGACGG